UCCAAUGUGGUGUAGUGGUUAACAUUGCUGUCUUUCAUGAUGUAUUCACAGCAGCCCGGGGUUCGAUUCCCCGCAUUGGAA